rfam:Citrus clementina cultivar Clemenules unplaced genomic scaffold scaffold_5, whole genome shotgun sequence.
AGUCGGUGAUGAUGAAUGUAUAAUCCCAGCUCUAUGAGGCCUUUUGUAGGCCAGGGACUAGAAUAUCGAUUCCAACAUUUAUCUGAGCCUCACA